rnacentral:miRNA from 1 species
CGGGUGUCCGGCGCGCGGCU